rnacentral:rRNA from 1 species
GACGAACGCUGGCGGCGUGCCUAAUACAUGCAAGUAGAACGCUGACUACUUUAGCUUGCUAGAGUAGAAGGAGUUGCGAACGGGUGAGUAACGCGUAGGUAACCUGCCUACUAGCGGGGGAUAACUAUUGGAAACGAUAGCUGAUACCGCAUAACAGUGUUUAACACAUGUUAGAUGCUUGAAAGAUGCAAAUGCAUCACUAGUAGAUGGACCUGCGUUGUAUUAGCUAGUUGGUGGGGUAACGGCCUACCAAGGCGACGAUACAUAGCCGGCCUGAGAGGGUGAUCGGCCACACUGGGACUGAGACACGGCCCAGACUCCUACGGGAGGCAGCAGUAGGGAAUCUUCGGCAAUGGGGGCAACCCUGACCGAGCAACGCCGCGUGAGUGAUGAAGGUUUUCGGAUCGUAAAGCUCUGUUGUAAGAGAAGAACGUGUGUGAGAGUGGAAAGUUCACACAGUGACUGUUACUUACCAUAAAGGGACGGCUAACUACGUGCCAGCAGCCGCGGUAAUACUUUGGGUCCCGAGCGUUUUCCUGAUUUUUGUGCGUAAAUGGAGCUCGGCGUUUUAAUAAUUUUGUAGUUAAGGCAGUGUGUUACCCUUUGUGCGCUGUUUGAAACGUAAUCUUGUGUGCGAAGGUGGGAGUGUGAUUGUCUGUGUGUUGUGGGAGUUUGUUUAUAUUUGGUGUGUGCUGUGUGUUUGGUGGUUGUUUUGUGUUGUUUUGUUGUUGGGUGUGU